UCAUACUCCAAGAGGGAGGAACACAGACCAACUAGAACACCUUCAGGAGAGAGGGCAACCAGGAGAGAUAGUUAAUAAAUGCCUCCUGUGUCAGGGACUAGCUUUCUGGUGGGGAUUGGUGGUGAAAAGGCAGAAGCAUCUCUUCCCUCAUGGAGCCUGCAGUCCCUGGGAGGAAGAGGAGGCAUGAAGUAGACAGCCACACAAGCAGCAAUUAAAAUUGCGAUAAAGUCCACAAAGAGAAGCUCCAUGCUGAAGGCAACCAAACCUUCCAGCUUGCAGGCAUGGCCUGAGUAAACAUGCC
rnacentral:lncRNA from 1 species